CACACAGUCAAACUUUUGGCGCUUUGGCUAAUUGGCUCUUAGCAGGGAUGCCAGAUGCGGACGUUUUUAAUUGUAAAACUAAUAAUGGCAAUGUUGCGCCUUACUUUCAAGAUGGCUGCUGACAGUCUGACAGCCUCGACGAUCGAAGUCAACUCAACUGAUUUUCCCUGACAUUAUUCGUCAUAAAAAUGAUAAAAUAGCCUACAAUUUAAACUUGCCAAUUCCAUCUGAUCAUGUGUCCUGAAACGGCUGUUUCUCAAAAUGUCGUCUCUUGCUGCACGUACCAGCUGUGCGUUUCGUCACAUGUAGAAACACUUCACAACAGUAACAGUGAUCAUGUUGGUGUAACCCUAAGGUUACAUGUUUGGUUUUAGAUCACUUUGUUGUUUUUAGAUUUUCUUGUGAUCUAUCUUCAAAAUAUUCUGAAAAAGCGAAUUAGUUCAAUU